UACAUGGGGUGCAAACGUUGCUCGGAAUUAUUGGGCGUAAAGCGCGCGUAGGCGGUUACUCAAGUCGGAUGUGAAAGCCCUCGGCUUAACUGAGGAAGUGCACCCGAAACUGAGUAGCUAGAGUACUAAAGAGGGUCGCGGAAUUCCCGGUGUAGAGGUGAAAUUCGUAGAUAUCGGGAGGAACACCGGUGGCGAAGGCGGCGACCUGGGUAGAUACUGACGCUGAGGUGCGAAAGCGUGGGGAGCGAACAGG
rnacentral:rRNA from 1 species